rnacentral:rRNA from 1 species
CUCGGCGUCAGGAUGAACGCUAGCGACAGGCCUAACACAUGCAAGUCGAGGGGCAGCACAAGGAGUAAUCUGAGGUGGCGACCGGCGCACGGGUGAGUAACACGUAUGCAACCUGGCUGUAAGAGGGGAAUAACCCGGAGAAAUCCGGACUAAUACCGCAUAAUACUUGGAAUCCGCAUGGAUUUUAAGUUAAACAUUUAUGGCUUACAGAUGGGCAUGCGUAUGAUUAGCUGGUUGGAGAGGUAACGGCUCCCCAAGGCAACGAUCAUUAGGGGUUCUGAGAGGAAGGUCCCCCACACUGGUACUGAGACACGGACCAGACUCCUACGGGAGGCAGCAGUGAGGAAUAUUGGUCAAUGGACGCAAGUCUGAACCAGCCAAAGUCGCGUGAAGGAAGAAUGUCCUAUGGAUUGUAAACUUCUUUUGAAGGGGAAUAAAGUACGGUACGUGUACCGCUUUGUAUGUACCCUUCGAAUAAGGAUCGGCUAACUUCGUGCCAGCAGCCGC